AUCUAAACAACUCUCGGCAACGGAUAUCUCGGCUCUUGCAUCGAUGAAGAACGUAGCGAAAUGCGAUACUUGGUGUGAAUUGCAGAAUCCCGUGAACCAUCGAGUCUUUGAACGCAAGUUGCGCCUGAAGCCAUUAGGCCGAGGGCACGCCUGCCUGGGUGUCACAC
rnacentral:rRNA from 1 species